GGGUUGUGAGGUUAAGCGACUAAGCGUACACGGUGGAUGCCCUGGCAGUCAGAGGCGAUGAAGGACGUGCUAAUCUGCGAUAAGCGUCGGUGAGGUGAUAUGAACCGUUAUAACCGGCGAUUUCCGAAUGGGGAAACCCAGUGUGUUUCGACACACUAUCAUUAACUGAAUCCAUAGGUUAAUGAGGCGAACCGGGGGAACUGAAACAUCUAAGUACCCCGAGGAAAAGAAAUCAACCGAGAUUCCCCCAGUAGCGGCGAGCGAACGGGGAGGAGCCCAGAGCCUGAAUCAGUGUGUGUGUUAGUGGAAGCGUCUGGAAAGGCGCGCGAUACAGGGUGACAGCCCCGUACACAAAAAUGCACAUGCUGUGAGCUCGAUGAGUAGGGCGGGACACGUGGUAUCCUGUCUGAAUAUGGGGGGACCAUCCUCCAAGGCUAAAUACUCCUGACUGACCGAUAGUGAACCAGUACCGUGAGGGAAAGGCGAAAAGAACCCCGGCGAGGGGAGUGAAAAAGAACCUGAAACCGUGUACGUACAAGCAGUGGGAGCCUCUUUAUGGGGUGACUGCGUACCUUUUGUAUAAUGGGUCAGCGACUUAUAUUCUGUAGCAAGGUUAACCGAAUAGGGGAGCCGAAGGGAAACCGAGUCUUAACUGGGCGUUAAGUUGCAGGGUAUAGACCCGAAACCCGGUGAUCUAGCCAUGGGCAGGUUGAAGGUUGGGUAACACUAACUGGAGGACCGAACCGACUAAUGUUGAAAAAUUAGCGGAUGACUUGUGGCUGGGGGUGAAAGGCCAAUCAAACCGGGAGAUAGCUGGUUCUCCCCGAAAGCUAUUUAGGUAGCGCCUCGUGAAUUCAUCUCCGGGGGUAGAGCACUGUUUCGGCAAGGGGGUCAUCCCGACUUACCAACCCGAUGCAAACUGCGAAUACCGGAGAAUGUUAUCACGGGAGACACACGGCGGGUGCUAACGUCCGUCGUGAAGAGGGAAACAACCCAGACCGCCAGCUAAGGUCCCAAAGUCAUGGUUAAGUGGGAAACGAUGUGGGAAGGCCCAGACAGCCAGGAUGUUGGCUUAGAAGCAGCCAUCAUUUAAAGAAAGCGUAAUAGCUCACUGGUCGAGUCGGCCUGCGCGGAAGAUGUAACGGGGCUAAACCAUG
rnacentral:rRNA from 1 species